ACUACCCCCUCUUGGUCCAAGUGUAUGAAAACUGAAGAGACCCACGUGUGUUCUAAAAUCUGUGCUAAAGGGAAUCAUAAGCAAGCUCGUUAUCCGCUACCUGAGAAAACCAAAAGCUGGGAUUCAGAAGGGAAAAGGACAAAGAAAAAAUUCCAUACAAAAAUCAACCAUGAUAAUAAUAAUUAAGUUUUAACCUAA